GGGGAGCAAGCGAGGUUACCUGCCGGAGGAGACGGCCGCUCCCGACCGCUGAGGCUGAGGGAAGCGAGUGACAGAUCCGCCCAGGACCUGCCGCCGCCUCCCGGAGCCUCCCGGCCCGCUGCCCGCCGGGCUCCCGGGGUGACUUUUCCCGGCGGCGGGGUGCAGGUCGCCCCCGUUUUCCAAAGACGCUCUUCCCCCGCCCGCCCAGCUCCCUCUGCCCCAGCCGCGCCCGGUCCCUCCGGCUCUUACCGCCUGUGCCGGCGGCGGCAGCUGCGGCACCCGCUCCGAAGCGCGACGGCGAGGGUGGCAGCGGGGUAGCGGAGGGAAAGGGAGGUGAGUUUCGCGGGGCGGGAGGGCGGGCGGCCCCCGCACCUCCCCCGCGGCGGCGGUAGCAGCGAUGCGAUCGGGCAUCACUCGAAAAUGGCGCCGAAAGAGCGGAGGGCUCUUCAUUCAAAUUCGUUAGCGCCAGCCCCGCCGCCCCGGGGCAUGCCGGGAACGGAGGGGGGCGCGCGGGGGCUGAGGCGGCAGCGCCGCACGGACACGGCGCUCGCUGUCAAUGCCGCCCCUCCCCCCCCCCCCGCUCCCGCCGCCCGCGCGCGCGCUCCACGCCCUCCCCGCUCACCGCGCGCGCUCCCGACCCAACCGCCGCUAAUGGGGAAAGGGGGGGUGGGGGGGGAAGAGAGGCAAGGAGGGAGGGAGAGAGAGGGAAAUGUCACCCGGAGCCCGGGCCCGCGGGGGAGAGGUGGCGCGUUAGAGAUGUGUGUGGGAGAGAGGGAGCGAGAGAGAGAGAGAGAGAGAGAGGGGGAGCGAGACCUCCGCUGGCCCCGCGAACUUGUCAAGCCACCGCUACAGUGCAAAACACCAAGCUUUUGGGCUCAAAAAGCCUAG
rnacentral:lncRNA from 1 species